rnacentral:rRNA from 1 species
AGAGUUUGAUCCUGGCUCAGGAUGAACGCUAGCUACAGGCUUAACACAUGCAAGUCGAGGGGCAGCAUGAACUUAGCUUGCUAAGUUUGAUGGCGACCGGCGCACGGGUGAGUAACACGUAUCCAACCUGCCGAUGACUCGGGGAUAGCCUUUCGAAAGAAAGAUUAAUACCCGAUGGCAUAGUUCUUCCGCAUGGUGGAACUAUUAAAGAAUUUCGGUCAUCGAUGGGGAUGCGUUCCAUUAGGUUGUUGGCGGGGUAACGGCCCACCAAGCCUUCGAUGGAUAGGGGUUCUGAGAGGAAGGUCCCCCACAUUGGAACUGAGACACGGUCCAAACUCCUACGGGAGGCAGCAGUGAGGAAUAUUGGUCAAUGGACGAGAGUCUGAACCAGCCAAGUAGCGUGAAGGAUGACUGCCCUAUGGGUUGUAAACUUCUUUUAUAAAGGAAUAAAGUCGGGUAUGGAUACCCGUUUGCAUGUACUUUAUGAAUAAGGAUCGGCUAACUCCGUGCCAGCAGCCGCGGUAAUACGGAGGAUCCGAGCGUUAUCCGGAUUUAUUGGGUUUAAAGGGAGCGUAGGCGGACGCUUAAGUCAGUUGUGAAAGUUUGCGGCUCAACCGUAAAAUUGCAGUUGAUACUGGCGACCUUGAGUGCAACAGAGGUAGGCGGAAUUCGUGGUGUAGCGGUGAAAUGCUUAGAUAUCACGAAGAACUCCGAUUGCGAAGGCAGCCUGCUGGACUGUAACUGACGCUGAUGCUCGAAAGUGUGGGUAUCAAACAGGAUUAGAUACCCUGGUAGUCCACACAGUAAACGAUGAAUACUCGCUGUUUGCGAUAUACAGUAAGCGGCCAAGCGAAAGCAUUAAGUAUUCCACCUGGGGAGUACGCCGGCAACGGUGAAACUCAAAGGAAUUGACGGGGGCCCGCACAAGCGGAGGAACAUGUGGUUUAAUUCGAUGAUACGCGAGGAACCUUACCCGGGUUUGAACGCAUUCGGACCGGAGUGGAAACACUUCUUCUAGUAAUAGCC